rnacentral:lncRNA from 1 species
CUUUCUCGCGUCCGCAGUGUCCCUGAGGGUCCGCGUCUACACGCGGCUGUGAGGAAGGAAGGCGCGUGCCGCGUGGGACGGGCUCCACCUGCCUGCGGACAGAUGGAGGGUCACUUUGUUCCGAGAAGACCCAGACACCCGAGGGAGGAUGUGAAACGGAACGACCCGUUUCGGUGCGGUUGGCUUUGUUUAUUUGCCUACUCCCCAGACGCCUCCAGCCUCUGAUUCCGGCACACCCUGUGAGGAAGCAAACGGCUGCCUCCCCCACUGCCACCAGACGAGGUCGCCUGCCCCGAGCCGGACAGGCUGGACAGGCUGCGCACCUGCGGCGGCCGACUAUUUCGUGGGCCUUGUACGCCACCUUGCAGAAGGGAAGCUGUGAGGUUUUGGCGAUAGAAGCGCAUUUACUUGUGUUUUAAAGCCCACAAACGCCGUAGUGACUAACUUAUUCAUUCAGCAAAUGUCUGUCAGAGCGUCUAUUACGUACCAGGCAUGUAGCCUGAACUUCACGCCUGUCCUCAUGGAGCUUGCAGAGCACCUCUGAAAUACACACCACAUACGGAAUGGCCAUAUUUUCUGGGUUGUAAAAUACUUUGAAUUGUAACUCCAUAUAUUGAAUAGAUUUUCAGUAGUGAGGGAAGAAACAAUACAUUUAGUUCAUAUAAUCCAUAUGUACGAAAAAGAAGUGCUGGUAAUUCCAGACAUGGAAGUCAGUAAAACUAGGAGCUAAGAGAGUAAUAACAGGAUGGAGAUGGAGUUUCAUGACAAAAAUGAAGGUGAAUAUGAUGUGGAAAAUACAAAGAUGGAAGCAACAAGCUAAGGAUGCUGGGGCAGAAAGAUGGAACCUGGGUUACUCAUGACAUCUUGAAACUGCUGCAGCCAUCCUAGACUGGCUGCCUCUAGACUUAAUAUGUUUAGAAAGUAAAUCCCAAUUUUAUUAAACUGUUAUCUGUUAUGUAUAUAUGAACACAUUCUUAGCUAAUAAACUAUCAUGUCUCCU